rnacentral:rRNA from 1 species
UACGUAGGGGGCAAGCGUUGUCCGGAUUUAUUGGGCGUAAAGAGCGUGUAGGCGGUUCGUUAAGUCCGAUGUGAAAGCCCCGAGCUCAACUUGGGAACUGCAUUGGAAACUGGCGGGCUGGAGUGUGGCAGAGGGGGAUGGAAUUCCACGUGUAGCAGUGAAAUGCGUAGAGAUGUGGAGGAACACCGAUGGCGAAGGCAGCCCCCUGGGCCAACACUGACGCUCAGGCACGAAAGCGUGGGGAGCAAACAGG